UACAGAGGUCUCAAGCGUUGUUCGGAUUCAUUGGGCGUAAAGGGUGCGUAGGCGGCGCGGUAAGUCGGGUGUGAAAUCUCGGAGCUUAACUCCGAAACUGCAUUCGAUACUGCCGUGCUUGAGGACUGGAGAGGAGACUGGAAUUUACGGUGUAGCGGUGAAAUGCGUAGAUAUCGUAAGGAAGACCAGUGGCGAAGGCGGGUCUCUGGACAGUUCCUGACGCUGGAGGCACGAAGGCCCAGGGGAGCAAACGGG
rnacentral:rRNA from 1 species